GAUGAACGCUGGCGGCGUGCCUAAUACAUGCAAGUCGAGCGAACAGAUGAGGAGCUUGCUCCUCUGACGUUAGCGGCGGACGGGUGAGUAACACGUGGAUAACCUACCUAUAAGACUGGGAUAACUUCGGGAAACCGGAGCUAAUACCGGAUAAUAUAUUGAACCGCAUGGUUCAAUAGUGAAAGACGGUUUUGCUGUCACUUAUAGAUGGAUCCGCGCCGCAUUAGCUAGUUGGUAAGGUAACGGCUUACCAAGGCAACGAUGCGUAGCCGACCUGAGAGGGUGAUCGGCCACACUGGAACUGAGACACGGUCCAGACUCCUACGGUAGGCAGCAGUAGGGAAUCUUCCGCAAUGGGCGAAAGCCUGACGGAGCAACGCCGCGUGAGUGAUGAAGGUCUUCGGCUCGUAAAACUCUGUUAUUAGGGAAGAACAAAUGUGUAAGUAACUAUGCACGUCUUGACGGUACCUAAUCAGAAAGCCACGGCUAACUACGUG
rnacentral:rRNA from 1 species